rnacentral:rRNA from 1 species
CAGCAGCAGCCGCGGUAAUACGGAGGGAGCUAGCGUUGUUCGGAAUUACUGGGCGUAAAGCGCACGUAGGCGGUUAUUCAAGUCAGAGGUGAAAGCCCGGGGCUCAACCCCGGAACUGCCUUUGAAACUAGAUGACUAGAAUCUUGGAGAGGUCAGUGGAAUUCCGAGUGUAGAGGUGAAAUUCGUAGAUAUUCGGAAGAACACCAGUGGCGAAGGCGACUGACUGGACAAGUAUUGACGCUGAGGUGCGAAAGCGUGGGGAGCAAACAGGAUUAGAGACCCGCGUAGUCCCUGUCUCUUAUAC